AAUGAGUUAUUUAGUUAAUUUGUAAGUUCUUCCACAGGACAUCAGAUUUCUUGCCAUUGUCAGAAUCUGGGGGAAUGAAUCUUGUGAUUCUGGGGAACACGUACAAAUAUUAUUGAGUGUGACCUCAUCAUGGGGUAGGCUCAUAGAAGGUGAAGAGCAUCUUCGUUUUGAUAACGGUCUUUACUUUUGACUGCUGACAUUUGAAUUUGAUAAUGAAGUCCUCAAUUGAUUUU